UGGGAUUAGAAGUGGAUGUGCCUGAAACUGCAAUUUGAAAUCUCACCAGUUGGUUGGACCCACCACCUGGGACCUAUCCUGUUAACAAGGGACUUCCUAACGCUGUUCAAGUUUGGACGUUGGUCAGCCGAAUCUGGUGAUGUCUCUAGGCAUACAGGCAUCAGUAGCUGCAGUUCCCGGGCUCUAGAGAGCUACGGUGGACAAGUUUAGUUGCUCCGAGGCAUGUGGGAUCUUCCAAGAUCAGGGAUUGAAUCAUGUCCCCUGCAUUGGCAGACAGAUUCUUUACCACUGAGCCACCAGCAAAGCCCUCUAUUUCCCUUUUUUAAUGGCUGCAUCUUGAAAUUAAAUCAAAUAAUCCUCUAUUAAAUAUCGGAAUUGUUUAUUGUGUGUUUGACAAGUGGUUUCUUUUCUUAAGGAAUCCUUUGAACCUAAAAGGAAAGUAAAACUUUUGGCAAACAGGAAGUCUUGUUAUUUUAUUUUUGAUAGUAGCCAUCCUAAUGGAUGUGACGUAUGCAACUUGUUUGGAGAUGCAUUAAAAAGUGAGAUAUACUGAUGAAUGGAUAAAAGGAUGGAUAAAUACAGAAUAGGGCAAAAUAGCAAAGUGUUCAUUGAGAAAGUGGACAGUACGCAUAUGACAAUUCAUUGUAAAAGUCUUUCAAUUUUUCUGUGUACUUGAAAGGUUUCAUUAUAAACUGUUCGAAAAAUAGGUGGUGGGGGAAAUGAGCACAAUUUCUAUUCUCCAUGUUUCAGCAUUUCAUCCUUAAAUAUUUGAAAAGUGUUUUUAACUAUUUAAUGAGGAAUCUUUGAGUCUGCAAAUCCAUUUUGAGGAAUUUCACUAAGAGUAAAAAAAAAAAGUGAAAAAAGCAUUCAUUUCCACAUUAUUUGAAAUGGCAAAAAAAAAAAAAAAAAACACCACUAACUUCCUCCUCUGCCUCCCUCAGCGUUCAGUUCUCAUCAUCACUCACUUGGACCAGUAAAGUGGCCUCCACCCUGGACACCCCCACCCAACCUCUCCCCAUUCCC
ensembl:lncRNA